UUGGCUCAGUUGGAUAGAGCAACUGCCUUCUAAGCAGUGGGUCACAGGUUCGAAUCCUGUA
rnacentral:tRNA from 1 species